GGUGGCUCUCGCGAUUUCUCACGAGUUACAAAAUGUCAGCGUCCAGAAGUAUUUCGGGAACUUGGAGAGAUGUUGGGUUUGAAGAUGGGAAGGGAAUGCUUCGAAAAUUUCGCGAUGACAAUGACAGAAGAAGUGAAGAGGUCGUGGAAAUAUACGAAGAAUGUUUAACUUCAAAAAUGAACAAGUUAGGAAAUGAAAAGUCGGUUGGUGCUACGAGCAAGUUUGCUUGGCGCACUCGAGUGUUCGAG